GUGACUGACUUGGUGGUAAAGACUGGUUUGGAGUGAGGCCAAUCUGUUUGCCCCACGUGCUGUGAAUGCUCACACGUUUGCUGCACAAGUAGUAACGAGUUUGACCGUCGGGGUGCCGCCCCGGUGACACGCUGUACAUGCGCCUGUCACGUUUCUGAAGUCUGAGACGCUCUGAACUCUGAGAGCCGCGCGGCCUGGCGAGCAUUAGGCAAGGGACGUGGCUCUACACCUUUCCCACGUUACAGGGGACUGUCUUCAGGAGGCAGAACACGGCGUGAGCGUGGCUGACGGGGGAGAGAGGGCUGCAUGCCACACAUAUAGCCAGGACCAGCUCUCCGGGAGUGGAGCCGGAAGACAAAGGACUGGUGCACUCCUACAGAUACGGGCGUCUGCGGGAGGGCUUUGCGGCCCUGGGCGCUGUGUGCAUGUGCUGUGUGCCGGAGAGCUUUGGGGCAGUGCUCAGGGUCUUGUGGUGUGCGUGCACGUCUAUCUGUCGCAGGAGCACACGGUCUUCAGCAAUGUGAAGCUGAGGUCUGAAUCCCGAGGCCCACACCUCGUUACCAAGUCGCUCUAUUUCUCUAGGAGUUAGCUCUCUCUGCAGUGUGCGGGCGGUCACAAUGCCUGCUUUCCAGAGGUGAUGCCAAAGCGGCACUGGUUGUAACUGUCCACCAGUCCUCCUUAUCCCUGGGGAAACAGCCCACAACCCUCCAUGGAGGCUUUAAGCCGUGGAGGGUUCGGUGCUGUCGUCAUGUGUCAGGCCCAUGUGCUGGGCAUCGGGGCAGAUAGAGAAUUGAGUGUAGCAGGGUCCCCCUGGCUAGUGGAAGGAACAAAUAUAAAGAGAUACAUUUGGUGUGAUAAGCGCUACGCAAGGUGCUCAGAG
rnacentral:lncRNA from 1 species